rnacentral:rRNA from 1 species
GGUUAAGUUAGAAAGGGCGCACGGUGGAUGCCUUGGCACUAGGAGCCGAAGAAGGACGGGACUAACACCGAUAUGCUUUGGGGAGCUGUACGUAAGCGUUGAUCCAGAGAUUUCCGAAUGGGGGAACCCACUAUCUUUAGUCGGAUAGUAUCCUUACGUGAAUACAUAGCGUAAGGAAGGCAGACCCAGGGAACUGAAACAUCUAAGUACCUGGAGGAAGAGAAAGAAAAAUCGAUUUCCUGAGUAGCGGCGAGCGAAACGGAAAGAGCCCAAACCAAGAAGCUUGCUUCUUGGGGUUGUAGGACACUCUAUACGGAGUUACAAAAGAAAGUUAUAAAUGAAGCGGUCUGGAAAGGCCCGCCAAAGACGGUAACAGCCCGGUAGUUGAAAUGGCUUUCCCUCCAGAGUGGAUCCUGAGUACGGCGGAACACGUGAAAUUCCGUCGGAAUCCGGGAGGACCAUCUCCCAAGGCUAAAUACUCCCUAGUGACCGAUAGUGAACCAGUACCGUGAGGGAAAGGUGAAAAGCACCCCGGAAGGGGAGUGAAACAGUUCCUGAAACCGUGUGCCUACAAGUAGUUAGAGCCCGUUAAUGGGUGAUAGCGUGCCUUUUGUAGAAUGAACCGGCGAGUUACGAUUUGUUGCAAGGUUAAGCGGAAAAAGCGGAGCCGUAGCGAAAGCGAGUCUGAAUAGGGCGCAUAAGUAACAGGUCGUAGACCCGAAACCAGGUGAUCUACCCAUGUCCAGGAUGAAGGUAAGGUAAUACUUACUGGAGGUCCGAACCCACGCACGUUGAAAAGUGCGGGGAUGAGGUGUGGGUAGCGGAGAAAUUCCAAUCGAACUUGGAGAUAGCUGGUUCUCUCCGAAAUAGCUUUAGGGCUAGCCUCGAGGUAAAGAGUCAUGGAGGUAGAGCACUGUUUGGACUAGGGGCCCUUCUCGGGUUACCGAAUUCAGAUAAACUCCGAAUGCCAUGUACUUAUACUCGGGAGUCAGACUGCGAGUGAUAAGAUCCGUAGUCGAAAGGGAAACAGCCCAGACCACCAGUUAAGGUCCCCAAAUAUAUGUUAAGUGGAAAAGGAUGUGGGGUUGCUUAGACAACCAGGAUGUUGGCUUAGAAGCAGCCACCAUUGAAAGAGUGCGUAAUAGCUCACUGGUCGAGUGACCCCGCGCCGAAAAUGUACCGGGGCUAAACAUAUUACCGAAACUGUGGAUGAACCUCUUCGGAGGUUCGUGGUAGGAGAGCGUUCUAAGGGCGGUGAAGUCAGACCGGAAGGACUGGUGGAGCGCUUAGAAGUGAGAAUGCCGGUAUGAGUAGCGAAAGAAGGGUGAGAAUCCCUUCCACCGAAUAUCUAAGGUUUCCUGAGGAAGGCUCGUCCGCUCAGGGUUAGUCGGGACCUAAGCCGAGGCCGAUAGGCGUAGGCGAUGGACAACAGGUAGAGAUUCCUGUACCAGUGCUAAUUGUUUAACCGAUGGGGUGACACAGAAGGAUAGGGAAUCGCACGAAUGGAAAUGUGCGUCCAA